CAGUACCACGGUAAUACAGAGGGUGCGUGCGUUAAUCGGAUUUACUGGGCGUAAAGCGUGCGUAGGCGGCUUUUUAAGUCGGAUGUGAAAUCCCUGAGCUUAACUUAGGAAUUGCAUUCGAUACUGGGAAGCUAGAGUAUGGGAGAGGAUGGUAGAAUUCCAGGUGUAGCGGUGAAAUGCGUAGAGAUCUGGAGGAAUACCGAUGGCGAAGGCAGCCAUCUGGCCUAAUACUGACGCUGAGGUACGAAAGCAUGGGGAGCAAACAGGAUUAGAGACCCCUGUAGUCCCUGUCUCUUAUACA
rnacentral:rRNA from 1 species